rnacentral:rRNA from 1 species
GGACUACAAGGGUAUCUAAUCCUGUUUGAUCCCCGCACUUUCGGGUCUGAGUGUCAGUGUGUAGCCAGAUAGCCGCCUUCGCCUCCGGUAUUCCUCUUGAUAUCUACGUAUUUCACCACUACACCAAGAAUUCUACUAUCCUCUCUACCACUCAAGCUACGCAGUAUCAAAUGCACUUCUAGGGUUGAGCCCUAGGCUUUCACACCUGACUUACAUAGCCACCUGCACCCGCUUUACGCCCAAUGAUUCCGAACAACGCUAGGAUCCCUCGUCUUACCGCGGCUGCUGGCAC